UACAUGAGUAGCUAGCAUUAAUCGUCUUUAUUGAGCGUACAGAGUGAGAGGGCUGUUAUAUCAAUUAAUAACUAUUUUUAUUUAAAAAAUUAUUAAUAAAAAGAACUAGUGAUUUUUUUUUAUGUAAGCUGAGCUUGUACACUAGUGAUGAAAUACAGGAAGUCUACAGGAAUGUUCAUUGCUAAAGCAGCUGCCAAAAAAAAAAUGACGCUUAUUCACGAAAGUGUAGGUAAUGAAAAGGCACUUAAACCCUAGUAAUCUACACCGUAAAAGAUGAGUAUUGAUUAAUAAGUUAACGCAAAAAUACUCCGCUUGGGUAGUAAAGUCGCAAGGCAGAAACUUAACAGAAUUGGCGGGGGUUUGUACAAACGGUGGAGCAUGUGGUUUAAUGCGAUAAUCCACGUAAAAUCUUACCAGCGUUAAAUUUUUUUUUAUAAUUAAAUGUAAUAGUUUAAGUUUUAAAAAAAAGAACGGUAUUGCAUGGCUGUCGUCAGUUCGUGUUGUGAAGUUUAAAAUUCAGUUUUAUAAACGAACGCAACCCUUAUCCUGUGUUUAGGUUAAAUGUAUUAGGAGACCCCUAAUAUAUUUUAAAUACAAGGCUGAAGUCAAGUCCUUACGGUCUGUGUAUGCUGGGCUACACACGUGCUACAAUGAUAAAAACAAUAGAAAAACAAAGUUCAACCUUUAGUUUUUAAAAAAUUAUCAAAGUACAGAUUGUUUUCUGAAACUUGGAAGCAUGAAGCAGAAAUCGUUAGUAAUCGUAAAUUAUUAUGCUACGGUGAAAUAAAAGUCAAACCCUGCACACACUGCCCAUCACGCUCAAAGAGUUUUGAGUAUGGAAGUCAGAUCUUAUUUUGGAUUUUUUUUUUUUUAAAAAAUGGCAAAAUACACUUAUGUGUAUAUCUUGUGCUUGCUAAGUAUUUAUUACUUAAAGAGACUAUAAACAAGAGAGACGACAAAACCACUUGAAAUGAUCGGAGUGAAGUUG
rnacentral:rRNA from 1 species